rnacentral:lncRNA from 1 species
AUAUGUUAAAUUAAUAUAUAAAUAUUUAACUUAAUACGUUCAUUAUUAUUUUAUUAAUUUAUCGUCACACGUCAUUUACCAGUUGCCUAAUUACGAAAAGUUUCAUAUGACAUUAACCUCAAAAAUGAUCUUUGAAAACAAACAACAACAAACAGAGCAACAAAUGAACAAAUAACUACAUAAUGACUGAUAAUGAUAAGUGAUAAUAAUAACUUUAAUGAUAUGAAGGCUGAUGAAGUUUUAGACAACCAAUACAAGAUUUAGAACUUGACAUCGUGAUAAACAAAUUGUACAUUCAGGAACUCGUUUAAAUAUUAUAGGUUGAUUGACGAAUACUCUACAGUUGAUUAGAGCCCAUGAUGAUGCGAAGAUAAUUAAUAUCACCUAACUUCAAGAAACCAAUGUAAAGAAGUUUACAUUCAUAACUCAUCUAACCAUUAUACCUAGAUCAGUAAUGUCGUCAUAAUUUAAAUGAACUCACAGAUAGCAAUGGGGCACUGCACCGAAGCAGUAUUACAAAAUAUGUGAAAUAAAACUGUAAUACAAAUUGCUCUAUAAAAUUUAAUAGAAAUAAAUUUAUUUAUGAAAAUUAAGUUAUGAAGUUUUAUUUUUCCUAGGAAAAAAAUAACAUUUAUAUUUUGAUCAAUUUAGAACAUUACAGUUAAAAAAAUAUGUGUUAGAAUAACAUAUUUUUAAUAAAAUUGCAGCUUUUAAUUUUUAUACUUUUUUGCUUUUAUAUCAAUAAGAACUAACGUAAGGAACAAUUCAUAUUUAUACUAUGAAAACACAUGCAUAUUUUUUGAUGUUUUUAAAACCAGUGAAUGAUGUUGAAAUAUACUACACCUAUUAUUCUUAUUAACUAACUUUAAUUACAAACUUACACAUUAUUGUCAUUGGAAAUAAAUUAAUUUGGAUAUUCUA